rnacentral:lncRNA from 1 species
GUGCAAUUCUCGACGAUCGUCGAGUUCCGCGUGAAUACCUCUUGGCUGUGACAUCCGGGCACAUAGCUAUUGUCGGGAUCAAAGUAUUCAAAUCAUCAUCCUUGUUGAUUAAUAGGUCAAAUCGACUGGCACGCCUUGAUAUCAAAAUCAUGUAUUAGACCUUUGUGUUUGCAGAUCUAGUUUUGCUUCAACAAAAGGAUUGAGAGACUCAGACAAGGAAUCUCUGAGUUUUAUUUGAAAAUCUGCAAAAAAACUCCAGAAUUAUAGUUGAUCAAAGAGCAAGAAAUAUGGCGC